AGAGUUGAUUCUGGCUCAGGAUGAACGCUAGCGACAGGCUUAACACAUGCAAGUCGAGGGCAGCAUAAAAGUAGCAAUACUUGGUGGCGACCGGCGCACGGGUGAGUAACGCGUAUGACCAACCUACCUAUCAGGAGGGGAAUAACCCGGCGAAAGUCGGACUAAUACCGCAUAAAACAGGGGCACCGCAUGGUGAUAUUUGUUAAAGAAAUUCGCUGAUAGAUGGGCAUGCGUUCCAUUAGGUAGUUGGUGAGGUAACGGCUCACCAAGCCGACGAUGGAUAGGGGAACUGAGAGGUUGGUCCCCCACACUGGUACUGAGACACGGACCAGACUCCUACGGGAGGCAGCAGUGAGGAAUAUUGGUCAAUGGGCGGGAGCCUGAACCAGCCAAGUCGCGUGAAGGAAAGAAGGAUCUAUGGUUCGUAAACUUCUUUUGCAGGGGAAUAAAGUGCAGGACGUGUCCUGUUUUGUAUGUACCCUGAGAAUAAGGAUCGGCUAACUCCGUGCCAGCAGCUGC
rnacentral:rRNA from 1 species